GCUGUGCUCUUCUGCAGGACCACCCUCCUGAUGAGCUGUUCAUCCCUACGCCCUCUCUUCCCUCUGGUUGCCCCAACAGCAGUCACCUCCUGCAUUUUGUUUUACCUACAGAAUGAGGAUGAGAUGGCCAAACUACUGCUAAUGUGAAAUGCAGCUGCCGUGACUGAUGUUUAGAGGUGUGUUACAGAGGCACCACUAAAGCCAAAUGUUUUAACGUUGUGGAAGGUGGUAAACUGCAGAAUGCAUCAGAGAAGGAUGGCAGCGUGAGGAGACUGACAUUCAGCAGGCCUUUCAGAGAAGACUUCUGGACUUGCAGUUACAUCAGGAAAUGCCAGACCAUGACUGUGCUGGGACAUUUUGAGCUUUUGGUCAGCGUUCUGGUAGGUGCUGUGGAACUUUUUCAGAUUUCGAUAUGCAGAGAUACUGUCUUAAACCCCUCCGUGGAAAUUUAUGGUCUUAUUUUGUCUUCCUCUUGUUCUUUCCCCGUGACUUUCAGUGACCAAAGUCUUUCGUCGGUCAUGUU